UAAAUAAAAGGACAUACACACCUAUAUAUUCCAGACAGGGGCCUCGUAUGGGCCCAUGAAGAUAUGCUGGGCACCAAGGCACAUGAUUAACUCAAUUGUUGGGAAAAUUUUUUAAAUGGGUGGAGCAGAAUGUGUGCUACAUAUAUGUACACAAACAUGCACACACACAUGCACAGUUGUUUUUUUUUUUCCUUCAUCGAACUAGCCCAUUGAUGGCACAUAAUAGCCCUGAGAAAUAGUAACUGAGUAAUUGACUGAAACACCCUCCUACCCCUCUGUCUCAGUGGAGAUGCUUUUCUAUUCUCUCUACAGAAUAAGUUCCGUAGAGAGAAUAGACUCUAUUGGCUGGAAUUUGAAAACUGUUUCACGCACACAACGUCCUUAUAACAGAUACACACGCUCUCAACUAGGCCAACUGACUUGCCUCCAGAACUUAUUGCCUGUAGCCUCCUUCCAAAACACAUGUGUAGGGUUCAGGGAAAGAAAUUUUCAGAGUAGUGCACGGCAUCUAGUCCUCAGCAUUCCAUCAUUUUAUGAGCAAUAGCUUCAAGCCUCUUUUGCAAACGGUCUUCUGCAACCAUCCUUUCCUUACAGAGCCUUUGUUAUUCAGACAUUUAAACUAUGUAAUGGUCUCAGGUGAGGGGCAGGUAGAUAGAUGGGAGAUUGGUAGUUCUCAAACUCAAGCAUGUAUCAGAAUCACCUAGAGACCUUAUUUAAUGCAGGUUAGUGGGCCCUAUUCCAAGACUGUCAAUCAGUAGACCUGAGGCACGGCCUGAGAAUUUCCUUUUCUAACAAGUUCCCCACAGAUGUUGAUGCUGUGGGUAUAGGGGUCCCAUACUUUGAGACCCACGAGAUAGACUUAGAAAUAGGAUGCUGCCUCCACUGAUUUAUUUCCCUUUCAUUGUAUACUGUAAUGCACUGGUUGUGCAUCUAAGAAUCAUCCGCAAGGCUUAUUAAAACACAAAUCCCUGGGCCUCAACCUCAAAGAUUUGGAUUCACUAGAGCCGGGUGGAACCAAAAAUCUGAGCUUCUAACAAACUCCCAGAUGAUACAGAUGCGGCUGGAUCCAGGUCCAGAGAUCGUUGCACAGGUUCUUACUCUUGGUUAGAUCAGGAUCCUCUGAUUCUGAUGCCAGGCCCUACCUCAGGCCAAUUAAGCCAGCAAUGGGCCUGGGCACAGGUAAUUUUUUUAAAGCUCCUGGGGUGAUUCUAACAUGCAGCUGGGGCAGGAAAACAACGGUGCUGCCUAUUUCUUGGACCCCAACUGUUUCUAAUUUGAGUCACUCUUCAGCACUCCGUUAAACCCCAGUCCCCAUCCUCAGUUCCCAGGUGGGUUUGCAUAAGGGGUAGUAGACCUGCCAGGAGAUGCAGUGAGAAGCACUGAGCACUGAGGCAGGAGGAGCACAGACAGCACAGAGAAUCCUCUAAAGUGAAGUUUCUCUCUUUCUCACUGUUGUUGGGGACUCACCCUGCACCACAAAGAAGACUAGAUAAAGAAAACCACUAACCAGUAACAUCCGGCUCAGUAGGCUGAGCACAAAAGCAAGGUUUUGCUUUGGCCCUAGACCUAGAAGCCUGCUGAGUGAGCGCCUUGGCCCUAGAAAAGAGGAGCAGGGGGUUGUCCGGAGCCCCUCCGACCACGCUGCUCUCAGUCAGGCACCACAGACACAGGCAGAGCUGGCUAGAGGUCAGAGGCAUGGCCCCAGUGAGAAGCAGCAGCUGUGCCCUGUGAGCAGGAAUCCUCCUGUGUUUGGCAUCUCUUACACGAUGGAUGAGUGAACGGAGGAAAUGAGAAAGGUGGUGUGGCUCUAAUGGACAAGAAAGUUCAGAAGCCAAGUUGAGUAGGAAAUGGGUGUCACAUUGGGAUUGAGGAAAGGCAUAAUAACAGUUCUUAUGUCCUCUUACGUAUAUUUGAUGAACUGCCUCAAAAUCUUUCUGGAAAGAGAGGUCCAUUAGGAAUGGAGAGAGCUAUUGGAUCCUGACUUCAUCAUCCGGUACCUUCCGGCCCAGAUGGGACUGUGCAUCCAGGGAGAAGUUUGUCCCCUUAUUCAAGCCAGGAGGAAGGUUCCAUUUGGAAACCCCCAAGGUAAACCAGUGCUGAUUGAGAGGGGCUGACAUCAGAAUGGGGGCACCUCUACAUGUUCGGCACGGUGCUUUGAAGAUGUCAUCCCUCAUCACAACUUUAUAAAGGAAGAAAAGUUACCCCACUUUACACUGAGGAAUCUGAGGCUCAGAAACUG
rnacentral:lncRNA from 1 species